GGUAGAGCGGUGGUCUCCUACUCGGGAGGUCCCCGGAUCGAUUCCCGGCUCU
rnacentral:tRNA from 1 species